rnacentral:rRNA from 1 species
AUUGAACGCUGGCGGCAGGCCUAACACAUGCAAGUCGAACGGAGCGGCGGACGGGUGAGUAAUGCCUAGGAAUCUGCCUGGUAGUGGGGGAUAACGUCCGGAAACGGGCGCUAAUACCGCAUACUAUCAGAUGAGCCUAGGUGUGAUUAGCUAGUUGGGGGGGUAAAGGCGUACCAAGGCGACGAUCCGUAACUGGUCUGAGAGGAUGAUCAUGCACACUGGAACUGAGAGACUGUGCAGACUCCUCAGUGAGUCAGCAGUGUGGAAUAUUUGACAAUGGGCGAAAGCCUGAUCCAGCCAUGCCGCGUGUGUGAAGAAGGUUUUCGGAUUGUAAAGCACUUUAAGUUGGGAGGCGUUACCAACAGAAUAAGCACCGGCUAACUUCGUGCCAGCAGCCGCGGUAAUAC